rnacentral:lncRNA from 1 species
UUACUCGUUUCGGGGUCCGAACACGGCUUUACAGUGCGCUUACAAGCUGUCCCUAAUUUUCCCUAAAUUUUUCCCGGGGAACUGAAACGCACUAUCAGUACCUGCACGUGUUCUUAAAAAUCUCAAAUUAGGCCCAGGGCCCCUUUUUGGCCAAUAUCACAAUUCCGGCACGGCGGCUCCGCCGUGCUCCGGCGACGGCAGCGGCGGCGAUUCGCCUCGAGUUGGCCGUUUUCGGCCGUUUCCGGCCGAAUUCAG